AAGCCGUGAUGGGGGCAAUGAGUGGUAUAGCUUUUAAACCUCUCCCAAGCUUCACAGAAUGUUUUAUUGUUCUUCUGGGUAAAGCCUGAGAUUUUGUUCCUCAGCAG
rfam:Arabidopsis thaliana chromosome 4, complete sequence.